ACUCUUCCUACAUUUGUGUGUAAGUUUUAUUAACAUUUGUUUUCUUCUUUUUAGGUUAAAACUUACGCUUGAUCGAUCCGGUACAAAGCUGUACCAAGUGACGGUGCGAUUCUAGUGGAGAUCCAGGUGCGUAACUACAGUUUUAGCAGCAGAAAUCAAGUUAGCGUCUAGCUACGGUAGCAACGAUUGGACGAUUGCUUGAUAUAUCCUAGGUUAAAACUUACGCUUGAUCGAUCCGGUACAAAGCUGUACCAAGUGACGGUGCGAUUCUAGUGGAGAUCCAGGUGCGUAACUACAGUUUUAGCAGCAGAAAUCAAGUUAGCGUCUAGCUACGGUAGCAACGAUUGGACGAUUGCUUGAUAUAUCCUAGGUGUGUAAAUUGGAGUUUUCAAUAAAUUCAAACUACUUUCACAACGAAAUAUACUUUUUUUCGCGC